GGGUUGUGAGGUUAAGCGACUAAGCGUACACGGUGGAUGCCCUGGCAGUCAGAGGCGAUGAAGGACGUGCUAAUCUGCGAAAAGCGUCGGUAAGGUGAUAUGAACCGUUACAGCCGGCGAUGUCCGAAUGGGGAAACCCAGUGUGAUUCGUCACACUAUCGUUAACUGAAUACAUAGGUUAACGAGGCGAACCGGGGGAACUGAAACAUCUAAGUACCCCGAGGAAAAGAAAUCAACCGAGAUUCCCCCAGUAGCGGCGAGCGAACGGGGAGCAGCCCAGAGUCUGAAUCAGCUUGUGUGUUAGUGGAACGGUCUGGAAAGUCCGACGGUACAGGGUGAUAGUCCCGUACACCAAAAUGCACAGGUUGUGAACUCGAAGAGUAGGGCGGGACACGUGGUAUCCUGUCUGAAUAUGGGGGGACCAUCCUCCAAGGCUAAAUACUCCUGACUGACCGAUAGUGAACCAGUACCGUGAGGGAAAGGCGAAAAGAACCCCGGCGAGGGGAGUGAAAAAGAACCUGAAACCGUGUACGUACAAGCAGUGGGAGCACCUUCGGGUGUGACUGCGUACCUUUUGUAUAAUGGGUCAGCGACUUAUAUUCUGUAGCAAGGUUAACCGUAUAGGGGAGCCGCAGGGAAACCGAGUCUUAACUGGGCGUUAAGUUGCAGGGUAUAGACCCGAAACCCGGUGAUCUAGCCAUGGGCAGGUUGAAGGUUGGGUAACACUAACUGGAGGACCGAACCGACUAAUGUUGAAAAAUUAGCGGAUGACUUGUGGCUGGGGGUGAAAGGCCAAUCAAACCGGGAGAUAGCUGGUUCUCCCCGAAAGCUAUUUAGGUAGCGCCUCGUGAAUUCAUCUUCGGGGGUAGAGCACUGUUUCGGCUAGGGGGUCAUCCCGACUUACCAACCCGAUGCAAACUACGAAUACCGAAGAAUGUUAUCACGGGAGACACACGGCGGGUGCUAACGUCCGUCGUGAAGAGGGAAACAACCCAGACCGCCAGCUAAGGUCCCAAAGUCACAGUUAAGUGGGAAACGAUGUGGGAAGGCACAGACAGCCAGGAUGUUGGCUUAGAAGCAGCCAUCAUUUAAAGAAAGCGUAAUAGCUCACUGGUCGAGUCGGCCUGCGCGGAAGAUGUAACGGGGCUAAACUGUGCACCGAAGCUGCGGCAGCGACACUAUGUGUUGUUGGGUAGGGGAGCGUUCUGUAAGCCUGCGAAGGUGGCCUGUGAGGGUUGCUGGAGGUAUCAGAAGUGCGAAUGCUGACAUAAGUAACGAUAAUGCGGGUGAAAAGCCCGCACGCCGGAAGACCAAGGGUUCCUGUCCAACGUUAAUCGGGGCAGGGUGAGUCGACCCCUAAGGCGAGGCCGAAAGGCGUAGUCGAUGGGAAACAGGUUAAUAUUCCUGUACUUGGUGUUACUGCGAAGGGGGGACGGAGAAGGCUAUGUUAGCCGGGCGACGGUUGUCCCGGUUUAAGCAUGUAGGCGGAGGUUCCAGGUAAAUCCGGUACCUUUUAACGCUGAGGUGUGAUGACGAGGCACUACGGUGCUGAAGUAACAAAUGCCCUGCUUCCAGGAAAAGCCUCUAAGCAUCAGGUAACAUUAAAUCGUACCCCAAACCGACACAGGUGGUCAGGUAGAGAAUACCAAGGCGCUUGAGAGAACUCGGGUGAAGGAACUAGGCAAAAUGGUGCCGUAACUUCGGGAGAAGGCACGCUGAUAUGUAGGUGAAGCCCCUGCGGGUGGAGCUGAAAUCAGUCGAAGAUACCAGCUGGCUGCAACUGUUUAUUAAAAACACAGCACUGUGCAAACACGAAAGUGGACGUAUACGGUGUGACGCCUGCCCGGUGCCGGAAGGUUAAUUGAUGGGGUUAUCCGUAAGGAGAAGCUCUUGAUCGAAGCCCCGGUAAACGGCGGCCGUAACUAUAACGGUCCUAAGGUAGCGAAAUUCCUUGUCGGGUAAGUUCCGACCUGCACGAAUGGCGUAAUGAUGGCCAGGCUGUCUCCACCCGAGACUCAGUGAAAUUGAACUCGCUGUGAAGAUGCAGUGUACCCGCGGCAAGACGGAAAGACCCCGUGAACCUUUACUAUAGCUUGACACUGAACAUUGAGCCUUGAUGUGUAGGAUAGGUGGGAGGCUUUGAAGCGUGGACGCCAGUCUGCGUGGAGCCAACCUUGAAAUACCACCCUUUAAUGUUUGAUGUUCUAACGUUGGCCCCUUAUCGGGGUUGCGGACAGUGUCUGGUGGGUAGUUUGACUGGGGCGGUCUCCUCCCAAAGAGUAACGGAGGAGCACGAAGGUUAGCUAAUCCUGGUCGGACAUCAGGAGGUUAGUGCAAUGGCAUAAGCUAGCUUGACUGCGAGCGUGACGGCGCGAGCAGGUGCGAAAGCAGGUCAUAGUGAUCCGGUGGUUCUGAAUGGAAGGGCCAUCGCUCAACGGAUAAAAGGUACUCCGGGGAUAACAGGCUGAUACCGCCCAAGAGUUCAUAUCGACGGCGGUGUUUGGCACCUCGAUGUCGGCUCAUCACAUCCUGGGGCUGAAGUAGGUCCCAAGGGUAUGGCUGUUCGCCAUUUAAAGUGGUACGCGAGCUGGGUUUAGAACGUCGUGAGACAGUUCGGUCCCUAUCUGCCGUGGGCGCUGGAGAAUUGAGGGGGGCUGCUCCUAGUACGAGAGGACCGGAGUGGACGCAUCACUGGUGUUCGGGUUGUCAUGCCAAUGGCAUUGCCCGGUAGCUAAAUGCGGAAGAGAUAAGUGCUGAAAGCAUCUAAGCACGAAACUUGCCCCGAGAUGAGUUCUCCCUGACUCCUUGAGAGUCCUGAAGGAACGUUAAAGACGAUGACGUUGAUAGGUCGGGUGUGUAAGCGUAGCGAUACGUUGAGCUAACCGAUACUAAUGAACCGUGAGGCUUAACCUUACAACGCCGAAGCUGUU
rnacentral:rRNA from 1 species